GACGAACGCUGGCGGCGUGCUUAACACAUGCAAGUCGAACGGUAAGGCCCUUCGGGGUACACGAGUGGCGAACGGGUGAGUAACACGUGGGUGAUCUGCCCUGCACUUCGGGAUAAGCCUGGGAAACUGGGUCUAAUACCGGAUAGGACCAUUGCCUGCAUGGGUGGUGGUGGAAAGCUUUUGCGGUGUGGGAUGGGCCCGCGGCCUAUCAGCUUGUUGGUGGGGUGAUGGCCUACCAAGGCGACGACGGGUAGCCGGCCUGAGAGGGUGACCGGUCACACUGGGACUGAGAUACGGCCCAGACUCCUACGGGAGGCAGCAGUGGGGAAUAUUGCACAAUGGGCGCAAGCCUGAUGCAGCGACGCCGCGUGAGGGAUGACGGCCUUCGGGUUGUAAACCUCUUUCAGCUAUGACGAAGCGCAAGUGACGGUAGUAGCAGAAGAAGGACCGGCCAACUACGUGCCAGCCGCCGCGGUAA
rnacentral:rRNA from 1 species